CCCCCCCCCCGCAAGUUGGAGGGCGGGGCACGAACUCCCAACUUGCAGAGAAUAGAGCGGUGAAGAGGGCCGGCAAGAGCUUUGGUGAAGAUAUCAGCGAGCUGACCGGAAGAGGGAACGAACGACAAUGAAACCAGGCCAUCCAAGAGCUUUUGACGGACGAAGUGACAAUCAAGCUCGAUAUGCUUUGUCCACUCAUGAAAAACAGAAUUCUUCGCAAUAUGGAUAGCCGCCUUAUUAUCACAGUGCACUGGAACAGGUAAAGAAGGAACAACAGAAAUGUCACCAAGAAGAUGAACUACCAACUGAGCUCUGCAACAAGGCACCGCAUAGAACGGUAUUCAGCCUCUGCCGAUGACAAAGAGACAACUGCCUGCUUUUUGGAUUUCCAAGAAAUUGGGCAACCACCGAGGCUAAUAAAUAACCCACUAACGGAACGUCGAGUAUCAACACAAGAUGCCCAAUCAGAAUCGCAAUAGGCAACCAACUGAAAAGAAGGAUCUUUAGACAGAAAAAUGCCUAAACCCGAAUCUGCCCGAACAUAGCGAAGUGUGUGAAGUGCAGCCUGAAAAUGAUCUUGGGUAGGAGAUUGCAUAAAUUGACUCAAAGAUUGCACAACAAAAGACAAAUCUGGGCAAGAGUGGGUUAGAAAGUUAAGCUUGCCCACCAAAUGCCGAUAUGUUGAAGUAUCAGAAAGAGGAACACCAGAAGCAGAGGUAAGUUUGAGCGAUGAGUCCAGAGGAGCAGAGACUGGUCUGGAAUGAAGGCAGUUAAAAUCCAACAGUAACUUAAUAGCAAAUUUACGCUGGGAGACAAUGAGGCCAUCAGACUCGCGAAGUAAUUCCAUCCCAAGGAAAUAAUGAGCAAAUCCCAGAUCCUUGAUACGAAAUUCAGAAUCCAAAAACUUCUUAAGGUCAAGUAUCUCAAUAGGACUGUUCCCUGUGAGGAGAAAAUUGUCUACAUAAACAGUGAUAAGCAUAGAAAAACAUCCCUGGUGCUUGUAAAAUAGAGAGUAAUCAUUUAGCGACACAAUAAAACCCGAGACACAAGGGCAGUAGAGAGGCGAGCGUACUAUUGGCGUGAAGACUGCUUAAGGCCAUACAAGGAUUUACGGAGUCGACAAACAUGAUGAGGAGAAGGAAGAGACAUUCCAGAAGGUGGCCUCAUGAACACCUCUUCAUCUAAAUCACCGUGAAAAAAAAGCGUUAUUGACAUCCAACUGAAGUAGAGGCCAAUCACGCUUAAUAGCGACACUAAGGAUGCACCGGAUAGUAGUAAUCUUAACUACAGGUGAGAAUGUCUCUGUGUAGUCAAUACCCUCUCUCUGAAUGUCACCCUGAAUUACCAAUCGAGCUUUUAGACGCUCAACAGAACCAUCAGACUUAGUCUUAAACUUGUAAAUCCAUUUGCAGGGUAAAAUCUUCUUUCCAGGAGGGAGCUCAACCAAAUCCCAAGUUCUAUUAGUCUCUAGAGCUUCGAAUUCUUUGGCCAUUGCAUCCUGCCAACCUGGAUGGAGAGUUGCCUGAUGGUACGUGGAAGGUUCUUGGACAUGGGUAAGGUGUUGAGGAUAUUCUGAUUUUGGGUGGAUAAAGCAGUAAAAGAAAAGGAAUGUAAACAGGCAACAAUAGGGGAAGGAGAUGGAGAAGCUGUGUUGCACAUAUAUUCACUUAAGUAUCCAGGUGUGUGCCUUACUCUGAUGGACCUCCGUAGUGUUGGACUCGCGACAACAUGAGAAGGAGAAAUAGCAAGUGGAGAAGGUAUAGGAACAGACAAGGAUGAUGCAGUAGAUGUAGGAGAUGUGGGAGAUGUAGGAGAGGUGGGAGAUGUAGGAGGGGAUGAUAUAAUAGAUUCAGAGGAAAUAGGAGUAGGUGAAACAGAAAUAGAGGAGGAAUUCAAAGGAGACGAGGUAGGAACUGGAUGUGGGAAAGGAGAAACAAGACGAGUAGAAA
rnacentral:lncRNA from 1 species